GAGGUGCUGAUGUGGACGGGGCGGACGCGAUCCGCGUGACAAGUGCCCUGUCAUUACCAUGAUCACCUACAACUGUGCCACCCGGAGCGAGCGCCCUAGGAGAGGUGUUUUCGCGAAUCGCGCGUGCAGCUACGCCCAUUUUCCCCUCUCCUCUCCGUAGUUCUCAUAGGUUUCCGCCCGAUGAGACCCUGUCUCUUGGCUGGACGCGCCCAUCCACCUAUAUUUCUAUUUGCUGCCUCGCAAUCCGGCUUGUGGUGUACUCUAUCUGCUUAUAAAUCAAAAUAGUUUCUCCGUCCUGUCGUGGAACGUUCGGGGCCUUGGCGAUGAUGACAAGUGCUCUGAUGUGUUGUCCGAGAUCAUUACCCUGAACCCCGCCUCCCACUACUCAAAGAAUCCAAGUUACAAUCCAUCUCCACCCAAAAGGCUAACUCCUUCAUGCUUCGCUCACUCGGUAACCACAUCCACCUCCCGACAGCCGGAUCCAUCGGAGGAAUCUUCUGUGUCGUUAACCCUAACCGUUUUAACCUAGUGGAUCACUCUCACAACAGGUUCCCCACCUCUCUCAACCUCUCGGCCGCAACCUCUAAUACUCCUCUAACCAUCACAACAUAUACGCUCCUUCCACCCGAAGCCGAAAAACUGAUUUUUGCAGGAGUUAAAAAAUGC
rnacentral:lncRNA from 1 species